UUUGCAGCCACUGAGCUAGCUGUAGGCUCUGCUAUCGGACACACGAUUGGCCAUGCAGUGACUGGAGGCUUUAGUGGAGGACAGUCAGAAGCUACUAAGCCUGAUGUCACCUACCAGGAGCCGUACCAGCAGCAGCCACAGUCCAUGUACCAGCUGGAGGCGCCACAACAACAGGCCUGUGCCUAUGAGCUCAGACAGUUCAUUGAAUGCGCUCACAGAGCGACCUCAAACUGUGCGAGGGCUUCAGCAAGGUUCUCAAACAGUGCACGUUGGCUAAUGGCCUUUCACG